rnacentral:tRNA from 1 species
GAGGUCAUAGCUCAGUGGUAGAGCACAUGCUUAGCAUGCAUGAGGUCCUGGGUGCAAUCCCCAGUACAUCC